GUCAGGUUGACAAAAUGGUUUUGUACGUAGACUGCAAAUCUAUUGAUAUAGGGUUCGAUCCCCUCUUGACU
rnacentral:tRNA from 1 species